rnacentral:rRNA from 1 species
AGCAGCCGCGGUAAUUCCAGCUCCAAUAGCGUAUAUUAAAGUUGUUGCAGUUAAAAAGCUCGUAGUUGAAUUUCGGGAUUAGUAAGUUGGUCGUGCCUCUGGUAUGUACUGGCUUUACUGGUUCCUCCUUCUUGAAGAACUGUAAUGUCAUUAAUUUGGUGUUGCAGGGAAACAGGACUGUUACUUUGAAAAAAUUAGAGUGUUUAAAGCAGGCUAACGCUUGAAUACAUUAGCAUGGAAUAAUGAAAUAGGACGUUUGAUCCUAUUUUGUGGUUUCUAGGAUUGACGUAAUGAUUAAUAGGGAUAGUUGGGGGCAUUAGUAUUCAAUUGUCAGAGGUGAAAUUCUUGGAUUUAUUGAAGACUAACUACUGCGAAAGCAUUUGCCAAGGAUGUUUUCAUUAAUCAAGAACGAAAGUUAGGGGAUCGAAGACGAUCAGAUACCGUCGUAGUCUUAACCAUAAACUAUGCCGACUAGGGAUCGGAUGAUGUUAAUUUUUUAAUGACUCAUUCGGCGCCUUAC